CUUGAGGGGGGGUGUCCCUCAGCCCAGAUUGAGAAAUGGUGAAGGCCAGGCCGAGGGACCCCACUAGUGCAUG
rnacentral:pre_miRNA from 1 species